CAACCAAACAGUCAUUCAAGACCUUUUAAAGCGCAAGUUUGAAUCUCUCUCAGUCAGGGGGGAGAUUGACUGACAGACUGUCUACUCGCCACCAAACAGUAAUCUACACAGAAACCUUUUAAAGUUUAGCACAAACGUUUCCCGCGCAAAUUUGGAUCUUUACCAUUGAGGGUGGCUGACUGUUUUCGACCAACCAUCAUUCACACACAAAAACUUUAAAGGUACCACAUUUAUUUAUGUUGUGAGUAUACCACAGUUCUGUCAGUGGAAAAUGUAUUCAUAUUUUUG